UCCUUCAUUCCACCGGAGUCUGUCUCACUCCUAACCAGAUUUCAGUGGAGUGAAGUGCA
rnacentral:pre_miRNA from 1 species